UACAGAGGGUGCAAGCGUUGUUCGGAAUUAUUGGGCGUAAGGCGCGUGUAGGCGGCAUGGCAAGUCGGGUGUGAAAGCCCUCAGCUUAACUGAGGAAGUGCGCCCGAAACUGCCGUGCUUGAGUGCCGGAGAGGGUGGCGGAAUUCCCCAAGUAGAGGUGAAAUUCGUAGAUAUGGGGAGGAACACCGGUGGCGAAGGCGGCCACCUGGACGGUAACUGACGCUGAGACGCGAAAGCGUGGGGAGCAAACAGG
rnacentral:rRNA from 1 species